AAAAGGCUCAAGUGUGGUAUGUGUUGUGAUACCAGAACCUGGGAGGCAGAAGCCAAAGAAUCAGUGAUUCAAGGCCAGGCUGAGCUAUAUGGUAAGGUAAAAUCAGCUUGAGUGACAGGAGGGCUUGUGUCACAAACAAACAAGCACACCGAGACCAAACAGCGCACAGAAAUAAUGGCCAUACACAGAGGGAGAUAGAGAUGAAAGCUAGAGGGGUGGAAAGGGCCGGGGGAAUGGAUUCUUUGAAGGCACACCUCUAGUGAUCUACUUCCUUAGCUGAACCCUGCAUCCUAAUGACUUGUUCAUAAGUGCCACACGACUACCGAGGAGGGGCACCUUUCAGAUAUAAAAUCUAAAUAAAAACAAACAAACAACUAAAAACAAAAACUACAAGACCAACAGAAAACCCUAGUGGGAGUGGGGAGGAUGUAUCUAUCAAUAAUUAUUUUAAAGGUGAAUAGGUUAGAUUCUCACAUGAGAAGACAAAGUAAACUUUUUUGAAAACAAACAAACAACAAAACAAGACAAAAAACAAAGUGUCUUCAGGAAACUCAAUCUAACCUUAAAGAGAGCACGCAGCAAUGGUAGAAGACUUUAGUAUCUCCUCAGUCAACAUUGGAUAGUAACUGAAGUGAGCUAAGAAACUCCAGAGAAAAGGCAGACAGGCCUGCAACAGCUUAUGCAGGAAGUUAGGACCCCAGAAGAUCCUGUUAAGAUUGUCACACCAACUUCUGCUGAUGCUUACAAUUUUUUAGGCUUUGAGGGAACAACAGAUCUACAGACGGAAUCUCAUUUUUCACCCAAAAGUUCCCUCUUUUGACCUAUAAAUCCCCAAGUCCUCCCUACUUUGAUACACAGUCUCCAGUCACUGUUCUGGUUAAAGGACAAUCUGCUUUGUAGAGAACAGUCUCCUCUUUCCGUUAUUAGCAUGUCACUUUGACCAACCCCAACCUUACAGGCAGAAUAUUCAUACAGAAUGCAGUAAGAAACACAUGGUACCAAAUGGACCCAACAAACGUACAAACCCUGUUCCCAACAGCAUGUUCCAUAGUCUUCCCAGGCAUGCAUGGCUCUUCUGCCAGCACAGAUUGAGUAUUUGUGAACCUCCCAGCUUUUCUUGUUGCUUAUUUCUAGACUCAUUCUAUUGUGGCUGGAAGUGAUAUUUGGUAUGAUGUCAAUCUUCUUGAGUCAAAGAUUUAUUUUGGGAUCUAUAUGUCAUGUAAUAUCUAUAAUCUCCAAGGUAAUGUGUGUGUGUGUGUGUGUUUGUGAAUAUGUGUCUAUGUCUGUAUUUAUGGUAUGUGGAUGGGCACAUGUAUACCACCAAAUGUUGUCGUUGGGUUUUUUGUUAUUUUUCUCUUUUAAUUUUUUUUUCCAUUUUUUAUUAGGUAUUUAACUCAUUUACAUUUCCAAUGCUAUACCAAAAGUCCCCCAUAUCCACCCACCCCCACUCCCCUGCCCACCCACUCCCCCUUUUUGGCCCUGGUAUUCCCCUGUACUGGGGCAUAUAAAGUUUGCAAGUCCAAUGGGCCUCUCUUUCCAGUGAUGGCCGACUAGGCCAUCUUUUGAUAUAUAUGCAGCUAGAGUCAAGAGCUCCGGGGUACUGGUUAGCUCAUAAUGUUGUUCCACCUAUAGGGUUGCAGAUCCCUUUAGCUCCUUGGCUACUUUCUCUAGCUCCUCCAUUGGGAGCCCUAUGAUCCAUCCAUUAGCUGACUGUGAGCAUCCACUUCUGUGUUUGCUGGGCCCCGGCAUAGUCUCACAAGAGACAGCUACAUCUGCGUCCUUUCAAUAAAAUCUUGCUAGUGUAUGCAAUGGUGUCAGCGUUUGGAUGCUGAUUAUUCUCUUUUAAUUUUAAUUCAAUUGUUUUCCCCCAUCUCUCUCUCUCUCUCUCUCACUCUCUCUCUCUCUCUCUCUCUCUCUCUCACACACACACACACACACACAGAGAGAGAGAGAGAGAGAGAGAGAUUGAUUUUCCACUGAUACACUUGGAAGACGGAACAAAAUGCAUUCUCAAUGUAUAGUAAUGUAUUCAGUAGCUAGUAUGAUUUCAGUAAAUAAAGUUACAUUUGUAUCAGUUCUGAAUUCACAGCGUCAGGAUGAGAAGUCAUCAGUGAAUGGAUCUCUGUCUCUAGGCACUUUUUCCUACUCAUUCCCUCUGCAUAGCGCUGCUAGCAAAGUGUCGUUUCCAUUUAGAACUUCCCACGCCAUCUCCUUUUUGAGCAGAACAGUGUCAAGGUUCUCAUGAAGACAGGACAUAAUGGAUAGAAUUUUGAGUAGGUCCUCUUCUUCCAUUGUGAGUUUCCGUGAUCGAACUCAGAUUGUCAGGCUUCCAGGACAAAUGCUUUCAUCAGCUGGGCAGCCUUGCCAGCCAGAAGCUCCUCCAGGAUCGGGUGUCCUGGCUUCCUGACCUAGACGGUGGAGCUUGGCUGCCAGACAGCUGGGAACCAUCUGCCACCACAUUCCACCUUCAUUAGAGAGUGUAUGGGCAUGCAGGUGCAUGAAUAAGAAGCCAAAUGUCAACCUCAGACACCGCUCUUCAGAAUGCUACCCACUUUGCUUUUUGAGACAAGGUCUUUCUUGGGCCUGGAAAUGGAUAAUCCAGUUAAAGUGAUGCUUAGUGGACCCUGGGGACCUUACUAUAUCUACCUGUCCAGCAUUGGUAUCAUAAAUCCAUCCUAGACCCUCCAUGCCACUACUGAAGAGACCGACUCAGGGCUGGGGAGAUGGCAAAGUCCACAAAGAACUUUCCAUACCAGCUUGAGGACCUGAAUUUGAAUACCCAGAACUUAAGUAAAACUCCAACAGCACUUAGGUACAGUAUCAGGAGGAUCCCUGGGGCUCACUGGCCUAGCCUACUUGAUAAGCACCAGGCCACUGAUGGACCCUGUA